GUUUAGUGAUUUCCACGAGUUUCGACUUUGAGUGACACAGGUUCGAAGACUUCGUUUGAAGCUGUGGGCGAUUGUUAGACCUUAUUUAUGAAUUAAGUUUUUGAUUUGAGUUGCUUUCAUAGAGU